rnacentral:rRNA from 1 species
UCUGAUUAGCUAGUUGGUAGGGUAAAAGCCUACCAAGGCAUCGAUCAGUAACUGGUCUGAGAGGAUGACCAGUCACACUGGGACUGAGACACGGCCCAGACUCCUACGGGAGGCAGCAGUGGGGAAUUUUCCGCAAUGGGCGAAAGCCUGACGGAGCAAUACCGCGUGAGGGGGGAAGGCUCUUGGGUUGUAAACCUCUUUUCUCAGGGAAGAACAAAAUGACGGUACCUGAGGAAUCAGCAUCGGCUAACUCCGUGCCAGCAGCCGCGGUAAUACGGAGGAUGCAAGCGUUAUCCGGAAUGAUUGGGCGUAAAGCGUCCGCAGGUGGCUGCUUCAAGUCUGCUGUCAAAGCUCAGGGCUUAACCCUGAAUCGGCGGUGGAAACUGAACAGCUAGAGUGCGGUAGGGGUAGAGGGAAUUCCCAGUGUAGCGGUGAAAUGCGUAGAGAUUGGGAAGAACACCAGUGGCGAAAGCGCUCUGCUGGACCGCAACUGACACUCAUGGACGAAAGCUAGGGGAGCGAAUGGGAUUAGAUACCCCAGUAGUCCUAGCCGU